rnacentral:rRNA from 1 species
UACGAAGGGUGCAAACGUUGCUCGGAAUUAUUGGGCGUAAAGCGCGUGUAGGCGGCUUUGCAAGUCGGGUGUGAAAGCCCUCAGCUCAACUGAGGAAGUGCGCCCGAAACUGCAGAGCUUGAGUGCCGGAGAGGGUGGCGGAAUUCCCCAAGUAGAGGUGAAAUUCGUAGAUAUCAGGAGGAACACCAGUGGCGAAGGCGGCUUUCUGGACGGUAACUGACGCUGAGACGCGAAAGCGUGGG